AUAUGUUGAUGUGGGCAAUCUCUGAGAAGGGAAUUAAAUAUCUCCCAUGCAUGAUAGAAUUUUUGUAUGGCUUUUGCUUGAAACUUAAGAUCUCACUCCUCAACCU
rfam:Capsicum annuum cultivar Zunla-1 chromosome 7, whole genome shotgun sequence